rnacentral:rRNA from 1 species
GUUGUUGGGUAGGGGAGCGUUCUGUAAGCCUGUGAAGGUGUGUCGUGAGGCAUGCUGGAGGUAUCAGAAGUGCGAAUGCUGACAUAAGUAACGAUAAAGCGGGUGAAAAGCCCGCUCGCCGGAAGACCAAGGGUUCCUGUCCAACGUUAAUCGGGGCAGGGUGAGUCGACCCCUAAGGCGAGGCCGAAAGGCGUAGUCGAUGGGAAACGGGUUAAUAUUCCCGUACUUGGUGUUACUGCGAAGGGGGGACGGAGAAGGCUAUGUUGGCCGGGCGACGGUUGUCCCGGUUUAAGCGUGUAGGUGUGUGUUCCAGGUAAAUCCGGUUCACUUUAACACUGAGGCGUGACGACGAGGCACUACGGUGCUGAAGCAACAAAUGCCCUGCUUCCAGGAAAAGCCUCUAAGCAUCAGGUAACAUCAAAUCGUACCCCAAACCGACACAGGUGGUCAGGUAGAGAAUACCAAGGCGCUUGAGAGAACUCGGGUGAAGGAACUAGGCAAAAUGGUGCCGUAACUUCGGGAGAAGGCACGCUGACACGUAGGUGAAGUGAUUUACUCAUGGAGCUGAAGUCAGUCGAAGAUACCAGCUGGCUGCAACUGUUUAUUAAAAACACAGCACUGUGCAAACACGAAAGUGGACGUAUACGGUGUGACGCCUGCCCGGUGCCGGAAGGUUAAUUGAUGGGGUCAGCGCAAGCGAAGCUCCUGAUCGAAGCCCCGGUAAACGGCGGCCGUAACUAUAACGGUCCUAAGGUAGCGAAAUUCCUUGUCGGGUAAGUUCCGACCUGCACGAAUGGCGUAAUGAUGGCCAGGCUGUCUCCACCCGAGACUCAGUGAAAUUGAACUCGCUGUGAAGAUGCAGUGUACCCGCGGCAAGACGGAAAGACCCCGUGAACCUUUACUAUAGCUUGACACUGAACAUUGAGCCUUGAUGUGUAGGAUAGGUGGGAGGCUUUGAAGCGUGGACGCCAGUCUGCGUGGAGCCGACCUUGAAAUACCACCCUUUAAUGUUUGAUGUUCUAACGUGGACCCGUAUCCGGGUUGCGGACAGUGUCUGGUGGGUAGUUUGACUGGGGCGGUCUCCUCCUAAAGAGUAACGGAGGAGCACGAAGGUUGGCUAAUCCUGGUCGGACAUCAGGAGGUUAGUGCAAUGGCAUAAGCCAGCUUGACUGCGAGCGUGACGGCGCGAGCAGGUGCGAAAGCAGGUCAUAGUGAUCCGGUGGUUCUGAAUGGAAGGGCCAUCGCUCAACGGAUAAAAGGUACUCCGGGGAUAACAGGCUGAUACCGCCCAAGAGUUCAUAUCGACGGCGGUGUUUGGCACCUCGAUGUCGGCUCAUCACAUCCUGGGGCUGAAGUAGGUCCCAAGGGUAUGGCUGUUCGCCAUUUAAAGUGGUACGCGAGCUGGGUUUAGAACGUCGUGAGACAGUUCGGUCCCUAUCUGCCGUGGGCGCUGGAGAACUGAGGGGGGCUGCUCCUAGUACGAGAGGACCGGAGUGGACGCAUCACUGGUGUUCGGGUUGUCAUGCCAAUGGCACUGCCCGGUAGCUAAAUGCGGAAGAGAUAAGUGCUGAAAGCAUCUAAGCACGAAACUUGCCCCGAGAUGAGUUCUCCCUGAGACUUAGAGUCUCCUGAAGGAACGUUGAAGACGACGACGUUGAUAGGCCGGGUGUGUAAGCGCAGCGAUGCGUUGAGCUAACCGGUACUAAUGAACCGUGAGGCUUAACCUUAC